UACGAAGGGGGCUAGCGUUGCUCGGAAUUACUGGGCGUAAAGCGCACGUAGGCGGAUUGUUAAGUCGGGGGUGAAAUCCUGGAGCUCAACUCCAGAACUGCCUUCGAUACUGGCGAUCUCGAGUUCGGGAGAGGUGAGUAGAACUGCGAGUGUAGAGGUGAAAUUCGUAGAUAUUCGCAAGAACACCAGUGGCGAAGGCGGCUCACUGGCCCGAUACUGACGCUGAGGUGCGAAAGCGUGGGGAGCAAACAGG
rnacentral:rRNA from 1 species